CCCUUCGGGGUGUGACUGCGUACCUUUUGUAUAAUGGGUCAGCGACUUAUAUUCUGUAGCAAGGUUAACCGUAUAGGGGAGCCGGAGGGAAACCGAGUCUUAAUUGGGCGUUAAGUUGCAGGGUAUAGACCCGAAACCCGGUGAUCUAGCCAUGGGCAGGUUGAAGGUUGGGUAACACUAACUGGAGGACCGAACCGACUAAUGUUGAAAAAUUAGCGGAUGACCUGUGGCUGGGGGUGAAAGGCCAAUCAAACCGGGAGAUAGCUGGUUCUCCCCGAAAGCUAUUUAGGUAGCGCCUCGUGAAUUCAUCUCCGGGGGUAGAGCACUGUUUCGGCUAGGGGGCCAUCCCGGCUUACCAACCCGAUGCAAACUGCGAAUACCGGAGAAUGUUAUCACGGGAGACACACGGCGGGUGCUAACGUCCGUCGUGAAGAGGGAAACAACCCAGACCGCCAGCUAAGGUCCCAAAGUCAUGGUUAAGUGGGAAACGAUGUGGGAAGGCCCAGACAGCCAGGAUGUUGGCUUAGAAGCAGCCAUCAUUUAAAGAAAGCGUAAUAGCUCACUGGUCGAGUCGGCCUGCGCGGAAGAUGUAACGGGGCUAAACCAUGCACCGAAGCUGCGGCAGCGAACGUAUCACCCAAGACAACUUUACGGAGUUGACGAUUGACGGAGCGAAGCGACGUCAAAGCGUUCAUUAAAGUCGAGUUGGCUUAGGGAUACGUUCGUUGGGUAGGGGAGCGUUCUGUAAGCCUGUGAAGGUGUGUCGUGAGGCAUGCUGGAGGUAUCAGAAGUGCGAAUGCUGACAUAAGUAACGAUAAAGCGGGUGAAAAGCCCGCUCGCCGGAAGACCAAGGGUUCCUGUCCAACGUUAAUCGGGGCAGGGUGAGUCGACCCCUAAGGCGAGGCCGAAAGGCGUAGUCGAUGGGAAACGGGUUAAUAUUCCCGUACUUGGUGUUACUGCGAAGGGGGGACGGAGAAGGCUAUGUUGGCCGGGCGACGGUUGUCCCGGUUUAAGCGUGUAGGUGUGUGUUCCAGGUAAAUCCGGUUCACUUUAACACUGAGGCGUGACGACGAGGCACUACGGUGCUGAAGCAACAAAUGCCCUGCUUCCAGGAAAAGCCUCUAAGCAUCAGGUAACAC
rnacentral:rRNA from 1 species